CCUACGGGUGGCAACAGUGAGGAAUAUUGGUCAAUGGACAAGAGUCUGAACCAGCCAAGUAGCGUGAAGGAUGACUGCCCUAUGGGUUGUAAACUUCUUUUAUAUGGGAAUAAAAUGUUCCACGUGUGGGAUUUUGUAUGUACCAUAUGAAUAAGGAUCGGCUAACUCCGUGCCAGCAGCCGCGUUAAUACGGAGGAUCCGAGCGUUAUCCGGAUUUAUUGGGUUUCACGGGAGAGUAGGUGGAUUGUUAAGUCAGUUGUGAAAGUUUGCGGCGCAACCGUAAAAUUGCAGUUGAAACUGGCAGUCUUGAGUACAGUAGAGGUGGGCGGAAUUCGUGGUGUAGCGGUGAAAUGCGUAGAUAUCACGAAGAACUCCGAUUGCGAAGGCAGUUCACUGGACUGCAACUGACACUGAGGCUCGAAAGUGUGGGUAUCAAACAGGAUUAGAUACCCUUGUAGUC
rnacentral:rRNA from 1 species